GGGAAUUCUGAAAACAAGGGAGAACUCCAAGCUUUAAGAAAAAAUGUCCUGAUUUUUAAAUUUGGCAAAACCUUUGAAAGCACCUUCUAACGUAAGCCGCUGAUGGGGGGUAAGAGGAGUCUGAGUUUCGACCGCAGCCCUCCAGCCGCCGCACUGAGAACCCGAGGACGAGGAAGUCUUCCUCACUGCCCCGCAUCUGACCACGAGCCACGGGCUGCCCAAUUUCUCAGAGGGAGACUGAGUCCUGGAGAGGGGAAGCAAGUGGGUGACUCACGCUAACCCGGCCAGAGAGGAGGGGACAGCCGGGCCCCUGACAGCUCACCGCAUGUGGCCAGCACUCGGGGCGACCGGCCAAGAAAUGGAGACCCUGUGCCCCCCAGAGCAAGAACAAAAUUCUACCAACGCCUGAAAGAGCUUGGAAGCCUGUCCUUCCCCGGCUGAGCCUUUGGCUGCGCAGGCCGCCAGGGGACACCUGUCCACAGCCUCAUGGGACCCAGAGCCGGGGCACUGACCCGCUGGGCCAGACCACCGCCGAUCCCCAGACGCCCUGAGAAAACACACGGGUGUCGUGGCAAGCCACUACGUGCAAAUGUAGCUGACGCCAGCCGUUUGCCAAAAGGCCCUUCUCUGUAACAGUCCGCGUCUGGUUUUUAAGUUCGGCCUAACACAUCCUAACUCCAUUUCCAGAGGAGCCUCUUUCUGCCUUCCAACCGGCCUGACCCCCCACCACCACCCCCGGCUCCCUGCUGCUCCCGGGAUGCCCCAGGGGAAGGAGGGUGUGGCCAGAUUUAGCAAAUAAAAGUACACGGCACACAGUAAAUGUGAA